GUUGCCCGGGGCGGGUUCUGGGAACCCUGGCAACGGAGCUCUUCCGAGGCCUACAAGAGCGUCCCCUAUUUUCUCAGCUGCAAUAGCUCUGGAGUCCUGUUCUGCAAUACCGAGAGGGAGGCCUCGGGCGCAGAGGAGGAUUGUUACAGUCGGUCGAGGAGACCCAAGCCCAGCAAAGCCGGCCGCUCCGCGCUGGGGCGCAGCUCGCGCGCGCGCGCACGCACGCUCCCUAGCUCUCGGUGUGGGGAAUGAAUGGCCUCUGCCAGGGAACCCGGAACUAGCCCUGCCGCCCCCGCCUGCCGUCCCAUUCUCAAGAGCGGUCCUGGGUUCCUUGGAGCACCCCCUUGUUUCUGCCUCUUCGUCCUCCUAUUGCGGUAUCUGCUUGCGCCGCUACGGGAGCCAAAGGCUGGAGCGCAGCCUCCUGGACUGCGAGAGGGAGCCAGCGCGUGGCAGAGUGUUGUGGACUGGCUAAACACAGGACAGAUGAUAUCAACAACAGUUUAUUCAUCACAUAUCCUCACAGCUAGCAGAGUGAGAGAGGAGGAUACAGCCAACCACCAAGGGCUGCACAGGAGUUGCUACUGCUAAGAGAGUGAACAGCCAGGGGUUUGUGGCAGUUUAUGAAGAACAGCAAAAAAUUAAAACAGAAAAGUGACAAACAUUAUAUAUAAUGAAACAGAAAAUAGUAUCCUCCAAAGAACAGCUCUGAGAAUGUACACCAGUAGAGGAUGAUGAGCCAGAGCAAAGCAAGCAAAGCAAUGAACCUGAGUUCUUCAGGUUCUACGUCAGGAGACAGGGUCACCCAGGCUGGAGUGCAGUGGCAGAUGAUAGCUCACUGCAGCCUCAAACUCCCAGACUUAACCAAUCGUCCUGUCUCAACCUCCCAAAGUGCUGGGAUUACAGUCAUGAGCCACCAUCCCAGCCAAAACUGCUGCUUUUCAAUGAUCAGUUAAUCUGAAAUAUUAAUCAGGUGACUGUUUUCCUUCCUUACUUCCAGCAUCACUCUUUUAGUGUUUAAUCAUCAGGAAUGAGGGCCCUCUCAAGGAUGUUGAAUGAGACAAAAUACAUUUGAAUGUAUAAUUGUCAGCUUUUGAGUGGGGAAUGUUCAAUAAUAUGCCUCCUGGACUUGGGAGAGGGGAGAAAAGUAAGAACAGCAUCACUCUGGGUUUGAUAGAAAUCUCCUCUUGUGUUUCCUUUGAUGCAGAGGACCUUUGGAUCAGAAUAGCUUCUAUUUCCCUAUGUCCUACAUAAAAAGGGAGGGUAGUGAACAGAUUUUGUAACAUACCAGAUAUUUGGCUGCCACCUUCCCAUAAAGCCCUAUGAAGGAAGAUUCCUUUGGAAAUGGGCUCUGUCUUGAAAUACAUCGUUCCCUUACAAGGCACUUUCCUUGCCCCCAUUUUGCACAUGUAUGUAUUUGAGAUGUGCAGGGCCUAUUCAUGGUGACUUGGGGAUAUUAUCUCAUGAAAUGAGGCUUCCUUAUAAUUCUGUUAUAAUGACCUUUCUUUAGCAAUUAUUAUCCAUACUCCUUUUGGCACACAAACAAAUAGCAGUUGGCCCUUGAACAACAUGAGCUUGAAAUAUGUGGGUACAUUUAUGCAGAUUUUUAAAAAUAAAUACAGUUUGGCCCUCAAUAUCUGCAGGUUCUGCAUCUGCAACCAAAUGCAAAUCAAAAAUACAGUGUUCGUGGGGUGCAAAACCUGCGGAUACAUAGGACCAACUCCUCAUAUAAGUAGGUUCUGCAUGGUCAAGUUGAAGGAUUUUAAGAGUUCAUUGAUUGUGGUAUCUGUGGGAGUUGUCCUUGUGUAUGCAAAGAGAUGACUGUUCAGUGAAUUCACAUCUUUAUUGAAAGUAUAAAAUGUGCUCUACAAAAAAAGAUACACAAUUUUUUUAAUUUUUUCAAUUCAUUUAAUAAGCAUUUGAUAAAACUGCUCUUGAUGGUGUGCUAUGCAGAAUUUGAAUCUUGUCAGAAAAACCCUUGAGAAAAACUGUCAUAAAAAACAGACCUUAGAAAAUGGGGACUACAAAAUGGAUGCUGAUGACAGGGGCCCAUACCAGGCAAAACAAAGCCAGGCCAAAGGAAAACACAGGCAGACAAGGCAAGGACUGCAUUGGUACACUGGUUGUUCAGGGCUGCAGAGGCACCAGAAGAACCCAACUCCAGUAGGGCUCCAGAAUAAGGAUGGUAUUAAAGAUCCCAUCCAAGAUAUGACAAGAUGGCCCAUGGCAAUGGGUGGCAUAUUUCUGAAAACUAAAGCAUUCUGACAUCUCAACUUGGUUCUCCUAUUCUUUUCUUUAUUUCUUUUUUUUUUUUUUUUGGUUCUCCUAUUAAACCAAUCCUUCAGAGAGAAAAAAAAAGAUGAAUUUGGUAUAUUGAACAGUUAAUAUCUUAAUAGAAAAACACAAUGUGCAAAUCUAUUUGCUAUUGAGAUUUUAAACUACAAUGGCAGAAGCUGUUUCCAGAUUGCUAAAACACCUUAAAGAAGUUAACACUGCAUCCCCUCCCUUCAGUCACCCUUAGUGAGGGUGGUUUGUUUGCCAAGCUCUGAAACACCAGGCUUAUGGCUUUGUUUCUGUCCAGUUUUAAUAUUCUUCUACGUCUAGCUUAUGAGUUGCACCACAUCCUUGCUGUUAAUGCUAUGCUUGGUUACAGCGUAGAGAAAUGUUAAUGUCAUGAGAUCUGAUCAUCAGCAAUCCAGCUGCUGUGCCCCUCCUUACUAGAGAUAGUGUCAACACUGCUCAUGGGGGGAGGCUGAGCAUCAUAAAAUUGAACCCUUUUAAAGUCAUACUGAGGGAAACAGUCUCGUAGUUUUUAAUAAGAAAUAUAUUUCUUCGCCCCUAGUUCCUGUCACAGAGAUCUUAAAACACUUGGAAUUUAUCCUGAGUGAUAAGAGUAUCUUCUAUUUAUAAUGAGCCCCCCCCAACCUUUUUAAGACAGAGUCUCAAGCUGUCGCCCUGGGUAGAGUGCUGUGGCAUCAUAGCUCAUAGCAACCUCCAACUCGGGCUCAAGUGAUCCUCUUGCCUUGGUUUUUCUAUUUUUAGUAGAGACAGGGCCUCGCUUUUGCUCAACCUGGUCUUGAACCCCUGAGCUCAGGGCAAUCCACCUGCCUUGGCCUCCCAGAGUGCUAGGAUUAUAGGCGUGAGCUACCGCGCCCAGCCUAUAAUCAGCCCCUUUUGAUCACAUCUGAUUUUAUGCUAAUGAGGUGACUUAGAAUGGGACCCCUAGAUAGCCCAGGAUGGGAUGGGGCUGGUGAAAGACCAAUUUAUGAGAGUAUUUUUCGCAACCUCCAGGAAAGGUAGGGAGAUAGGGCUACAGCUUAAGCUCUAUAAAAGUCUUUUAAAUGUUUGUAAAAUUUUAAUUGACACAUUAUUAUUGUACAUAUUUAUGAGAGGGCCAGUGUCAUCUUUUGAUAUGUGUAUACAUUGUGUAAUGAUCAGGGUAAUAAAGAUACCUACCAGUUCAAACAUUUAUCAUUUCUUUGUGGUGGGAAUGUACAAAAUCCUCUCUUCUUGCUAUUUUCAGAUAUACAAUACUUUAUUGUUGACUAUAGUCACAUUACUGUGAAAUAGGACAUCGAACUAUUAAAACUCUUGAACAACUAGAUGUGAUGAGCUUCCAGAUUGCUGAACACAUGGAAGUGCCUAGAAGGUGGUGUGGCUGGCGAGGGCAUGGAAGCCUUGCUCCCUGUCCCUUGUAUCUCUUCUGUAUCUCUUCCACUUGAUGUUUAUCUGUAUUCUCUGUAAUAUCCUUUAUAAUAAACUGGUA